rnacentral:RNase_P_RNA from 1 species
UGAGUCGGCCGGGUGGUCGCGGCAUCAGGGUUGAGCUUCUGAACGGUUCUUCUGAACGGUUGCUGAAUGCUGGUGUUGAGGAAGGUCGGGACUCCACAGGGCAACGGUGCUGGCUAACGGCCAGUCGGGGCAACCCGAAGGAAAGUGCCACAGAGAACAGACCGCCGAUGGCCCAGCUUUUGGGCACAGGCAAGGGUGAAACGGUGCGGUAAGAGCGCACCAGAAGCCGGGGCAACUCGGCUUGCUAGGUAAACCCCACCGGGAGCAAGGCCAAGCAGGGGAUAUGGCGGCCCGCCGCCUUACAAAAGGCAAUCCCCGGGUAGGCCGCUUAGAUGGAUGGCCACACAAGGCCCCAAAAGGGCCCAGACAGAAUCCCGCCUACAGGCCGACUCACCCC